ACUUGUUAUUUCAAAUUUUCUGACGUUAUAUAAACAAAACAAAAAAUAGAAAUUAUCAAUAUGAAUUUCAGGACAUCCAAGGUAUCACUGCGGGCAAUGGUGGCCAGAUACAAAACGAAAUUAAAAAACUAAGUGCAAUGAGAUAUAAACUCAAUACGAACGAAUUAAACACCGGGGAAAAAAAGGUAGUUAAACCGAGUGAUAAUGGUGGGAAUAACAAAUGAGGCACUGAAUUCGGAAGAAGAAUUACGAGAGAAGGUGAUGCAGACAUUGGAUAAAGAAAAUGCUCCUAUACCAGCAAAAAUGGUACGCUUGUAAUUACUA